CCUACGGGGGGCAGCAGUGAGGAAUAUUGGUCAAUGGGCGGACGCCUGAACCAGCCAAGUCGCGUGAGGGAAGACUGCCCUAUGGGUUGUAAACCUCUUUUGUCAGGGAGCAAUUGGCGCUACGUGUAGAGUUAUCGAGAGUACCUGAAGAAAAAGCAUCGGCUAACUCCGUGCCAGCAGCCGCGGUAAUACGGAGGAUGCGAGCGUAAUCCGGAUUUAUUGGGUUAAAAGGGGGGGUAGGCGGACUGCCAAGUCAGCGGUAAAAUGGCGGGGCUCAACCGCGCUCCGCCGUUGAAACUGGCGUCCUUGAGUGGGCGAGAGGUAUGCGGAAUGCGUGGUGUAGCGGUGAAAUGCAUAGAUAUCACGCAGAACUCCGAUUGCGAAGGCAGCAUACCGGCGCCCAACUGACGCUGAGGCACGAAAGCGUGGGUAUCGAACAGGAUUAGAUACCCUGGUAGUC
rnacentral:rRNA from 1 species